rnacentral:rRNA from 1 species
AUUGAACGCUGGCGGCAUGCCUUACACAUGCAAGUCGAACGGCAGCACGGGUGCUUGCACCUGGUGGCGAGUGGCGAACGGGUGAGUAAUACAUCGGAACGUACCUUAUCGUGGUGGAUAACGCAGCGAAAGCUGUGCUAAUACCGCAUACGCCCUGAGGGGGAAAGCGGGGGAUCGCAAGACCUCGCGCGAUUAGAGCGGCCGAUGCCUGAUUAGCUUGUUGGUGGGGUAAAAGCCCACCAAGGCGACGAUCAGUAGCUGGUCUGAGAGGACGAUCAGCCACACUGGGACUGAGACACGGCCCAGACUCCUACGGGAGGCAGCAGUGGGGAAUUUUGGACAAUGGGGGCAACCCUGAUCCAGCAAUGCCGCGUGAGUGAAGAAGGCCUUCGGGUUGUAAAGCUCUUUUGUCAGGGGAGAAACACCGGCUCUAACACAGUCCGGGAAUGACGGUACCUGAAGAAUAAGCACCGGCUAACUACGUGCCAGCCGCCGCGGUAA